rnacentral:tRNA from 1 species
AAGGCACUGAAAAUGCCUAGACGAGUUAUAUAACUCCAUAAACA